rnacentral:lncRNA from 10 species
GCGCCUUCUCGGCCUCAGAGUCCAAUGGCUCUGGACGCGCUUGAGGAGCCCUUCAACCCGCUGCUGCGCUGUGGGGGCCCCUCUCUGGGGCUGGCCGAGGCAGGAGCCGGCUCCCUCUGCUCACGGGGAGGUGUGGAGGGAGAGGAACGUCUGGGAGCCAGGGCCGCAAGCGGCACUCAGGGGCCUGCGCGGGUUCGGGUGGGCCGGGCUCAGAAGGCCCCGCGCUCAGCGCAGCCAGCCGGUGCCUGCUGGGCUUGAUCAGGAGAUGAGUUCCCUCUGGGCUGCCAGAGUGCCUGGGCUAGGUGCUGCAAAGUCCUAUAGCGACUGCCAUUGAGAAGUGAAGCCGGCUAGGCUUCUGGGUCAGGUGAGGACCUGAAGAACGUUUCUGUCUAGCUGAAGGUUUGUAAACGCACCAAUCAGUGCUUUGUCAAAACGGACCCAUCAGCUCUCUGUAAAACGGACCAAUCAGCUCUCUGUAAAAUGGACCAAUCAGCUCUCUAUAAAAUGGACCAAGCAGUAGGAUGUGGGUGGGGCCAGAUAAGGGAACGAAAGCAGGCCUCCCAAGCCAGGAGCGGCAAACUGCUGGGAUCCAUUUCCAUGCUGUGGACUCUUUGUGCUUUGCUCUUUGCAGUAAAUCUUGCUGCUGCUCACUUUUUGGGUCUGCACCACCUUUAUGAGCUGUAACACUCACCGCGAAGGUCUGCAGCUUUACACCUGAAGCCAGGGAGACCACGAACUCAUCAGGAGGAACGAACAACUCCAGACGCGCGGCCUUUAAGAGCUGUAACACUCAACGCGAAGGUCUGCAGCUUCACUCUUGAAGUCAGCGAAACCGCAAACCCACCAGAAGGAAGAAACUCCGGACACAUCUGAACACCUGAAGGAACAAACCCCGGACACACCAUCUCUAAGAACUGUAACACUCACCGCCAGGGUCCGCGGCUUCAUUCUUGAAUCAGUGAGACCAAGAACCCACCAAUUCCAGACACAGAAGGUUGGUAUUCAGAGAGCUUGUGUAACCUAUCCAAGGUCAUACAGCUAAACAGGUGGCAGUGCUAGCAUUUGAACCCAAAUAGUGUGCCUCCAACAGCUCUAGUAUAUAAAGCAUGUCUUGUAAGUAAAUAUCCUAUUUUUUGCUUUGACUUUCAUGAUUGUUUUAUCAAUGUUUAUUUAGAGAUUUGAUGAUCCUCAGGUGUCAGUUAUUCCUCUGCCACUUGAACUCCCUUCCCCCUUGGUUCUCGCUACCUGCAUUUCCAGUCUGCCUGUCAAAUAGUUAAUGAUCUGCAUACAAACACUUUCAUGAACUAGUGGAACUCAGCCUUUAAAAGAAUCCUAGGGGAAUUCUUUAAAGACUCUUUUACAGUAUGAAUAAUCAUCCCUUAGUUUAUUCAUCUGUAAAUUUUUGGUUUCACAUAGUACAUUUUCUUCAGGCAGGGCCAACCACAUUGCUUUUUAAACUCUUAGAUAGAUCAGCUUUGCUUUGUCAUUUUGUGAUCCAAGAAAGCCAAUUAUUUUAAUGUCCACAUCAACUAUUCUCCUUUUAGAAUUUAUGAAAGUGAAAAAUAUGUAGCCCAAAAACUCUUUGUUAGAGAAUAUUUCUCAUGAAAUGGGAAUUUUAGCCCUUCUUCUUACUUAGAGUACUUAUUUGUUCAGUCGCAAGACAAUGAAAAUAAAAUUUAAGUCUCCAAAAUAUUAUUUCUAUCCAUUUAAUUUUAUCAGGCCAGACCAACUUUUCUCAGCAGAUCAAAUUAAAUUUUUAUAUCGACUUUUCACUUUUAUGUUGAGAAAAUUUGUUAUUCUAUAUCCAUAGACUUUUGAGCAAAUAUCACCUAACUCUGAUUGCUGUAAUCUCCUCUGGCUGGUCUACCAGCUCUAAGAGACCUGCUUUCUAGCAGGUUCAGUUUUUUGAGAUCAGGACAAAAGCCAGACUAAAGCACACUUUUAAGUACUUUGAGCAAAAAUUAAAGACGCCCCAUAAGGACAGACAUUCCAUAGUUUCCACCAAGUCAAUCAAUGAUACAAAUGUAACUUCAUAUUGAAAGCAUGUAAUGGUUUUUGUCUCAGUUACUGAACCCCAACAUUUUGGUUUGGAGUACUCUCUUCAGAAGUGUUCAAGGUUCAAAUUGAGGUCUUCUGUUGUCAUGGAAUAACUUUCUCAACAAUGGUAAGUAGUGGAGAUAAGAGUUAAUGGGGAAUAUCCUAUUCACUUUUCUCUGAGCCCUCUGAAACAGAUUUUCUAAACCCUUCCAUGUGAUCCCGACCAUGUUAUGGGUUUGCUAACUUUGCAGUACAUUGGAUUGAAACAUCGUAAUUCUUUCCAUGACAACAGUGUCUGAUGUUACAGAUGUACAACCAGUGAGGUCAAUAGUUGACAGAUGGACGUUGAAGCCAUGCAAUUACACCUCCCAAACCAUUAUAAAGAAUGUAACAGAAGAAAGGUGGAACCCAGUCUAAAACACACCAAACAAUAAAAGGCACUAAAAUAAUUGCUUCACAUUUAAUGAAUCUUUCUUUAAUAUGACAACCAAUCCAAGAAUCUUUGAAUUCCCUUUCCCUGGUAAAAGUCAAAACAUUUUUGAGGCGGUGGCAGUUUAUCUAAAUUACUGUUUUUUCUCCAUCAGUCUUUAGGCUUAAUCUCAUUUGCUUUUAUGGAUAUGGUAACCCUUUUGAAUAGCUUUUAACCUUUUAAAAGUCGCCUUGACCCGAAGAGCCUAAAAAUUUUUAAUAUAAUAUUGAAUGAUAAAAAUUGAACAAUUGAGUGCUUUUCUGACUCUCAGUCUGCAUGCAGUGCUCUGGGUCGUACAGCAGAAUUUCUGGCUGAAUGAAAAAAAAUUAAAAUACCUGUAUAUAGCUUGCUUGUAGCAGAAACCUUCAGCUCUGACCUCCGUUUCAUUGGCUCCAUUGUUCCUUGUGCCCCCACAGUAUCUUGGCUUUCUCUUUUCCAGAGAAAGAGUGUGUUUUAUCCUGCAGCACGUCAGCUUCAAAGGGCUCUUACUUCAAGUGUCCAGCGCAUCAUUCUGGUAAAUUAAGAAAUCCUCGGCUUAAGAUCGUCUCUUUCAAUCACAUAUAAUGGAAGCUGACUCUUCCCGAAGCUCCUGAGAUAGACCAUCUGGCCCAGGCCAGGCUAAGCAGGCCAUUCCUGCCUCCUCAACACGGUGCAUGGUUCAAGACAGGGCAUGUGACCUCCACUGCUCCAAUCAGGGUGAUUCUCAGGCCUCGUACUAGGAAUACCAUAACAAGUUUCUUUCUCUUCUGGAUGGUAUGGAAGGCAGUAGAUGAUCCUCAAUCAAUCACUUAAAGGCCUGAAUAGAACCAAAAGUCUGACCUGCCCAUGAGUAACAGAGAGCUCCUUCUGCCUGAUUGCUUCAGCUGAGAUAUCGGCCUUUCCCUGCCUUUGGAAUUGAACUGCAACACUGGCUCUUCUUGGGCCUCAAGACUGCCAGCUUUUGAACUGUAACCACACUAUCAUCUCUCCUGGUUCUCAGGCCUUUGGACUCAAAUCAGAAGCAUACCAGGGGCUCUCCUACAUCUCCAACUUGCUAACUGUGAUCUUGAGACUUCUUAGCCUCCAUAAUCACAUGAGUCAAUUGUUGGUUCUGCUUCUCUGGAGAACCCUAAUCCAUCACUCUACAUCUUUGUUCCAUUAUACAUAUUGCUUCCCAGCAUAUUAAAUAAUUUAUCGAUUAUAUUUUUGGUUUAUUAUUUAUUUCUCCUACUGGAAUGUAAGUUUCACAGAGCUCUUGUUCAUUGCUAGAUCUCAAGCCUGGCAUCUAGUAGGUAUUCAGCAAAUAGCUGUUGAAAGAUGAAAAAAUAAAUCUAAUCUGCCAAGUGGAGGUAGGUACUGCGAAGAAGAAUAAAACCAAAUAAAGGAACUUGAGGGGAACAACAGCACUUCUUUUUAUAGAAGGUAGUUAGGUCCUGGUGGGACAAUGGACAUUACUACUGGGAUAUAAUGUUUAUCUUCCAAACUAGGCUAUCUUUCUUAAUCCUGAGAUCCUUGCAGAUUCACAUGGAGUUAUAAGAAAUAAUACAGAGAAAUCUCAUGUAUCCUCUACCCAGUUUCCUUGAAUAGUACCA